CAGCAAGCAUCUAAAGCCUAGUAGAAGGGGCUGCUGGCAGCCUGGUUUCUGAUCUUGCUUCAGUGAAGGAAGAGGUUCCCUAUGCUGCUCUGAUUUGGUCCUAUGAAGACAAAGUGGAGUGAAGUGGGAUUAACAUAAAGAAAAAAAAGACAUCAGAAGAAAAGUAGAAAGAGCAGGAAAGAAGAUCCAGAAUGCAGCAGUCUUCACAAACCCUAUGUGAAAAAUAUACUUUGGACUGAAUAAUUGGGCAGAAGCAACAUGAACUAAUUUUCACUGGAGUGGCUGGAAAUGUAGUUGUGGCACUUCUCAGAACUGCUCUCUUACUGAAAAAAAACUGUUUGGAAUAUGAAGCCUCCCUGUGCUGUGACAGUAAGGUAAUGACUUAUACUCUAGAGCUCUUUGGGGCAGAGAGGUUUAUUAGGAAGACAGCACGGCAUCUUGUCUGUGAAGUGUAUGGAUUCUAUAUGAAAACAGCAAUUUAUCUUUACCUUCUAUCAGAAAUGCAAUGAGGCCAACAAAAACAAUUUUAUCUGUAAGUCUACUACUGGUGACACUAAUUAAGAAUGUUAGAUGUGUGAAUUUUGUAAUUCAGGUUGAACUGAUGUGAAAUUCUGAGCAUCAGGGUAAAAUUCCUUAAAUCCUGUAAACAAAAUAUGGAGAAAGAACUAUGCAAGUGAGUGUUUAAGACUGUACUUGCAAAAUGUGUUUAAAAACAUUAGAUGUUCUUACCUAAGAAACAUGUUAGCGUCAUAAUUGUGUAUUUUGAGUAAAAUGGUAUAAUUGUUUCACUAUCAUUAAUUCUCUUUCCAAUUCUUGAUUUUAUGUCCUUAUUUAAUACAUUUUUACAGACUUUUUAUUUGUUUGUUGUUUUUAAGGUAGUUGACCAGUUGAGAGUAAGGAAUCACAGUUUUUUUGGUGGAAUUAAAAUUUGUUUGCUGGAUCUUUCAUAAGAAGGCCAAAGUUGCCCAUGUAAGGAGGGAAAUAAAACUUUUCUUUGUAGUUUCAAUGACAAUGUUCAUGUGCAUUGGUUUUGUUUCCUGGAAAAUCUUACAUUGGCCAGGUAUGGACCUGUUGAUGUUGAGUAAAGUAAUUCUUUUUCAUUAUCCUUUCAUUUUGAGGUGAGGAGAAAAAAAUACAUUUUUAUAGCAUUAAAUUACAGUUGAGCAUGAUUGUUUACAUCUAUAUUUGUUUUCUUUAUUUAUAAUAUGUUUUUCUCUUGGUAUAAUUUGACUUAUGUGCUGAGAUGUUAGGAAGAUGCUUUUACAGUAGUUAUAAAUCUUAUUUUAAUCCUAGAGAAGGGAAUGAAUAAGUAAUACCACAUCUGUCUCAACUUUUUAUAUACCCCCUGGUAUACCCCCUGGUACUGAGGACUUCCAUAAAAGGUUAGGCCCUUGUAUACAUCAAAGGUGUACUGGUGUGUUGUACUUUUAACCUUAUCUGUCUCUAGUACAGGAAUAGGUGUUUAGUAGUGAAAAUCAUGAGCAAACAUUUUGAAUGUUGCUCUGCAAGUGUUAGAUCUUUCUACUCAUUUGUGGAGCUGCUGUUUUUGUAUGUUCAGGGCCUUGGGCAUAGAUGUGCACCAAUUGAUCAGCGCUCCUAGGAGAGUGUGAAGAGGUAAACCAAGAAUUAAACAAAUUAAGAAGGUAAUCUUAGUGAAAUUCAUCAAAAAGCAGUAAUUCAUUACUACUCUCGACAAUAUUUGGUGGC
ensembl:lncRNA